AGCCCGCUCGCCGGAAGACCAAGGGUUCCUGUCCAACGUUAAUCGGGGCAGGGUGAGUCGACCCCUAAGGCGAGGCCGAAAGGCGUAGUCGAUGGGAAACAGGUUAAUAUUCCUGUACUUGGUGUUACUGCGAAGGGGGGACGGAGAAGGCUAUGUUGGCCGGGCGACGGUUGUCCCGGUUUAAGCGUGUAGGCUGGUUUUCCAGGCAAAUCCGGAAAAUCAAGGCUGAGGCGUGAUGACGAGGCACUACGGUGCUGAAGCAACAAAUGCCCUGCUUCCAGGAAAAGCCUCUAAGCAUCAGGUAACAUCAAAUCGUACCCCAAACCGACACAGGUGGUCAGGUAGAGAAUACCAAGGCGCUUGAGAGAACUCGGGUGAAGGAACUAGGCAAAAUGGUGCCGUAACUUCGGGAGAAGGCACGCUGAUAUGUAGGUGAAGUCCCUCGCGGAUGGAGCUGAAAUCAGUCGAAGAUACCAGCUGGCUGCAACUGUUUAUUAAAAACACAGCACUGUGCAAACACGAAAGUGGACGUAUACGGUGUGACGCCUGCCCGGUGCCGGAAGGUUAAUUGAUGGGGUCAGCGCAAGCGAAGCUCUUGAUCGAAGCCCCGGUAAACGGCGGCCGUAACUAUAACGGUCCUAAGGUAGCGAAAUUCCUUGUCGGGUAAGUUCCGACCUGCACGAAUGGCGUAAUGAUGGCCAGGCUGUCUCCACCCGAGACUCAGUGAAAUUGAACUCGCUGUGAAGAUGCAGUGUACCCGCGGCAAGACGGAAAGACCCCGUGAACCUUUACUAUAGCUUGACACUGAACAUUGAGCCUUGAUGUGUAGGAUAGGUGGGAGGCUUAGAAGUGUGGACGCCAGUCUGCAUGGAGCCGACCUUGAAAUACCACCCUUUAAUGUUUGAUGUUCUAACGUUGACCCGUAAUCCGGGUUGCGGACAGUGUCUGGUGGGUAGUUUGACUGGGGCGGUCUCCUCCUAAAGAGUAACGGAGGAGCACGAAGGUUGGCUAAUCCUGGUCGGACAUCAGGAGGUUAGUGCAAUGGCAUAAGCCAGCUUGACUGCGAGCGUGACGGCGCGAGCAGGUGCGAAAGCAGGUCAUAGUGAUCCGGUGGUUCUGAAUGGAAGGGCCAUCGCUCAACGGAUAAAAGGUACUCCGGGGAUAACAGGCUGAUACCGCCCAAGAGUUCAUAUCGACGGCGGUGUUUGGCACCUCGAUGUCGGCUCAUCACAUCCUGGGGCUGAAGUAGGUCCCAAGGGUAUGGCUGUUCGCCAUUUAAAGUGGUACGCGAGCUGGGUUUAGAACGUCGUGAGACAGUUCGGUCCCUAUCUGCCGUGGGCGCUGGAGAACUGAGGGGGGCUGCUCCUAGUACGAGAGGACCGGAGUGGACGCAUCACUGGUGUUCGGGUUGUCAUGCCAAUGGCACUGCCCGGUAGCUAAAUGCGGAAGAGAUAAGUGCUGAAAGCAUCUAAGCACGAAACUUGCCCCGAGAUGAGUUCU
rnacentral:rRNA from 1 species